GUCCUGUGAUGACCUGUGGCGGAAGGUAAACCGAAGGUGACUGCGGUUAACGUCCUCGAUGGGAAUGGCCACCUUCAAGAAUUGAAAAAGAAGUUUAAGCACUGUUAUCAAUAUCAUCCAGCGUAACAGCUUUAUUCAACUGGAGCUAUCAGCUCAGCGCCCUGCCCUGCGUGGAAGGAACUGAGACAGUCACAGGCCUGUUCUCCAGCAGCCUGCCUUCUGAGCAGCACUGGGAGAGAAAUAUGCAACUGCGAAGUUCUCACGGGAGAAGUCCUGAGCACACUGCAAGGCAUCCUGGGACCACAGUCUCAAGGGUCACAGAGGAAGGGACUUCGGGGCUGAGACCUGCAGGAAGUGAGGGAACUGCAGGCCUGUCCUCACCCAGGGGAGGUGGAGCCCCCAGACGCUGUGAUAUGAAAUUCCAGAUCAUGGGAGGGAGAGUUUGAAGAAGGAAGAACCACCAAUAGAAAGCGGUCCCCAAAGAGAGCCACAGGUCCUGGCGCUGGCUGCAUCUCCCUACUCACCUGGUUGAUGAGGCCCCUUUUUCUAAUUCACACAAAAGCACCCUGAGCUAACAGCAGCUCCAGACCUGCAGAAUAGGCGGAGCACAGAGGACUUUUAGGAUGGUGAAGCUACCCAGUGAGAGACUACAAUGGUGAAUAUACGGUAUUAUUCAUUUGUCGAAACCCACAGAAGGCACAACAUCAAGAAUGAACGCUAAUGUAAACUACAGACUUCACAGGGCGACGAUGUGUCAAUGCGGUUCACCAACUGUAAUCAAUGUACCAAUCUAUGGUGGAUACUGAUAAUGGGGAGGCAGGGGGAAGGAAGGAGAAA
ensembl:lncRNA novel transcript